UAAUACGGAGGGUGCGAGCGUUGCUCGGAAUCACUGGGCGUAAAGCGUACGCAGGCUGUUUCGUAAGUCGGGUGUGAAAGCCCGGGGCUCAACCCCGGAAUUGCGCCCGAGACUGCGGAGCUUGAAUGCGGGAGAGGGAAGCGGAAUUCCUGGUGUAGAGGUGAAAUUCGUAGAUAUCAGGAGGAACACCGGUGGCGAAAGCGGCUUCCUGGCCCGACAUUGACGCUCAUGUACGAGAGCGUGGGGAGCAAACAGGAUUAGAUACCCUGGUAGUCCACGCUGUAAACGAUGAGUGCUAGCUGCUGGGAAUGUCUACCGUCUCAGUGGCGAAGCUAACGCAUUAAGCACUCCGCCUGGGAAGUACGGCCGCAAGGCUA
rnacentral:rRNA from 1 species